AGUUCUGGUUUCCACACGAAGCGAUGUGCUGCUCUGCUGUUUUCCCCGGGGACCCAGAGGCAGAUGGAGACAAACAGCAGGAUGCCCAAGAGGAAGAAGUGGCUGCCCCAGAAGGAACCAGAGCUUGGCAUCCGCAUGGACCUUUACAGUGGCGAUGCCUGACACACGGAGGAGCGGCAGAGGGACGUUUGUCUCAGUCAGCAGAGCAGAAGGCAGUGCCCCCGAGGCACAGAUCGGAGGGAUGUGGCUACUCGCAUGGAACGCAAGGAACGCAGCUCUAGAGGCUGGAAGAAGCGAGGAACUAAUUCUGCCCUAGAACCUUCCAAAAUUCAACAGUACAUAGUUGCAUAUUCUAGUUGUGGGUCCUUCUAGUUGUGGCAUGUGGGACACCACCUCAACAUGGCCUGAUGAGUGGUGCCAUGUCCACACCCAGGAUCCGAACCGGUGAAACCCUGGGCCACCGAAGCAGUCUGCAGGCCGAGGAGAGAGGCCUCACCAGAACCAACCCUGCUGGCACCUGGACUUCAAUCUCCAG
rnacentral:lncRNA from 1 species